GACGAACGCUGGCGGCGUGCUUAACACAUGCAAGUCGAACGGAAAGGCCCCCAUCUUGGUGGGGGUGCUCGAGUGGCGAACGGGUGAGUAACACGUGGGUGAUCUGCCCUGUACUUCGGGAUAAGCUUGGGAAACUGGGUCUAAUACCGGAUAGGACCAUGGUUUAGUGUCUCAUGGUGGGAAGAUUAUUGUUUUGGUGCAGGAUGAGCUCGCGGCCUAUCAGCUUGUUGGUGGGGUAAUGGCCUACCAAGGCGUCGACGGGUAGCCGGCCUGAGAGGGUGGACGGCCACAUUGGGACUGAGAUACGGCCCAGACUCCUACGGGAGGCAGCAGUGGGGAAUAUUGCACAAUGGGCGCAAGCCUGAUGCAGCGACGCCGCGUGGGGGAUGACGGCCUUCGGGUUGUAAACUCCUUUCGUUAGGGACGAAGCCGCACUUUUUUUGGGUGUGGUGACGGUACCUUUGUUAAGAAGCACCGGCUAACUACGUG
rnacentral:rRNA from 1 species